rnacentral:tRNA from 1 species
GCCGGGUUAGCUCAGUAGGAAGAGCAGCUUCUUUGUAAGUAGCAGGCGCGGGGUUCGAAUCCUCGACUCGGCU